rnacentral:lncRNA from 1 species
GAGACAUUGCAAGAGGUGGAUGGUCUCAUAAUAUAGUACUCUUAAAUCAGAGGGAUUUAGCUAAAAGACAAGUGAGUUUUUUAAUGCUAUAAAGUAUAUGCAAAGACCAAGCAGUGUACUGAUGUUAGUGGAGACUUUGUGCCUGUUUAUCCUCAGCAUGCUAAGACAAACUACAACCUCUUAAAAACCAAGCAUAAGAACCAGUAAUGUUUGGAAAGGUUUUCAGAAUUCAAGUAUGUCUUAUUUUGGAUGGUGUGUAGUUUUUGUCUAUUACUUCAUCUUGUAAGAACAUAUGAAGACAGCGCUCAUUCUGUGCCAGUGGGUGGCCUGCAACCUUGUUUAUGAAUUGCUCAAGAGCUUGCUUCCUUUCCUCUAUAAAGGAAUCAUCAAAUAUGCCAUCAUCUCCUCGGAAGGGGAGCUGACGAAGAAGAGCUUUUCCUGGUAAAGGUGGUACCACGACCUUGCUUUCUCUUUCUAGUUCAUUCCUUAGCCAUUCAAAGUCACUGUAUCUUCUUCUGACUGUAGAUUCUUUCAAUUUGAAGAUAGGGAGAUUGGUCUUGACGCGGAUCUCGUAGGUGGUGAAGCGGCCGCGGCCCACUCCCACGGUCUGCGGGUUGCCCACGUCGAUCUCUAGGAAGUUGCUGGGAGGCCCGUAGGCGUCGUUCAGGUUCUGCGGCUUGCUGAUCAGCCGCCGGGUGUCCGCGAUCGUCUCAGCCAUAGCGGAGCGGACGCCUUCCUCCCUCCCCCUCCGAUGACCGGCAGGACGCGACCAAGCUCCCUAACGCGGCCGCCCUCCGCCGCCCGCCCUCUUAUUGCCCCGCGGCCAGCUGACUGCCCGGCAACGCGCGCCCACGCCGCCGCCAGCGGAUGCGCCCGCCGCCCGCGCGCAAGGCAGGCUGGGAGCUGUAGUCCAUAUCCGUAGCACCUCUCGCUGCGCCCCGCGAGGCCGCCCGCCUUCCGAACUACAAGUCCCGGCGUGCGCGGGGAAUGCGUGGCGCCGCUCUUAGAGAGCUUGAGUCCUCGGGCCCGUCCGUGGCUAGGGGUUUUUAAACCAAAGGGAGGUUAGCGAUUACGGCAAAAAUAAUACUUUACUCUGAGCUGGAACUUCUUACCAGCGAAUCUAAGCACUGUGCGUAGGGAUGGGGAAUCCAAGAUAGGUUAUGUUAGCCAGGAGCAUAGGCAAGGUGGCAAAUGGAGGACUACAGAGACACUUGACAAGGCAGUUUUCAUAAUUAAAGUACGAGAAUAAGAAAGAAUCCUUGUGACAGCAUUGCCGAUAGGUGUGGACAAAGCUGUCUGCACUAAGAUGAAGGAAAAAUAUUCUGAUGUUUUCAUUCCAGAAAGCAAAAUGUCAGCAGCCAGCCUGGGUGGGCCAUACCAGGUGCCAGACAUGGGCCAGAGGGAUCCCAGCAAAGGCCCUGCCUUGAAAAUGGAGCCUGGAGGAUGGACAAGGCCACAAGGAAAGUGGCAGUGUUGUCUGCAGCAGCGUUAAGGCUUUUAGCAAUGGCAAAUCCUUUUUUUUUUCAGAUGAUAUGCACUUAGUAGCAGUAUAGCCAACUAGCUCAGAUUUGAUAGCUUACAGAGCUAAGAGUUUGUUAACAUUUCAUUGAUAAAGGAUAAGAAGGGAAAAUUGUGUUCCCAGAAAUUAAGUAAAUGGGAGGCUAGGACCUUGAAGAAAGGUAAACAGGGGAGAAAAGAAUGAGAGGGAGAAGUGUGGCCUUCUCUGCGAAGAUAUAAGGCCAUUGCUGCUUCUGUACCUGACUCAAAUACCCAGCUCAACCAUUGGCAAAAGAAGUGGAAAGCUUCACCAAGGACUUCAGGGAACGAGAUAACUGGUGCUGGGGAGCCAUAGAGAGCUGGGAAUCAGAUUCUCUGUACUGGAAGAUGAAGGGGAAGAUGCUUCAAAACUAGACCCUCCUUGCAUAUGCGAAAGGACAUAUGCCACGCUGGCUGGCUGAUGCUGCAGAGAGAAGGGAAUGAAGGUGGGGGAAAAUUAGAGUCCUUUGAGUCUGCUUGUUUCCUUCCAACCCUCGGAGAGUGUGUUUAUUCUGAAUUAUGGAUCAUAUUUUUUGUGAACCAUGGAACUCUGGAGUUACACUGUCUGUAGUUACACUACCUGCUUGCUGUGGUGGUUCAUCUGUCAGGAUGGAAAAGGUGAACCAUACAUUCAGAAAGAAUGUUUUAAUUAUAUUCCUGGUGUGAACUGUGGGCCAAAUUUCAAAUCUAGAGGGAGAGAGGUCAGCUGUGUUUGUAGGUCCAAAGAUUACGUGCAAGAAAUCAAGCAUUUAGACAAACAACCAAGAGAUCAGGAAUUCAUGGAUUUGUUGCCACACAGUUAUUUAUUCAGCUAAGAUUUUCUUGCAUAACUUCAAGUAGUGUUAUGAAUACUAGAGUUUCCUGGCAUGUACCCACAGAAGUAAGUAUUAAUGUGUGAUUAAUUCUUAAGUUUAGUAUAGCGAUACCUCUCAAGUAGUUAUUUGUUUUUAAAAGAAAAAAAAAAUUACAUUUAACUGGGUGGGAAACCAAAUCUUUCUAUUACCCGGGCCUUGUUCCCCAGCCUUGUGACAAGCUCCCAAGUUAAUACAUUUUAGUCACCACAGGCAUAUUUUGUCAAAACUUCUGGAGAAUGCUGACCCAGGAUAAGCCGAAGAAGAAAAACCGACGUAAGGCAUUGAACUAAUUGUGCAAUGCUUUAUGUGGAAAAGUGACUUCCUGAUGCCAGCGUUAGUAGGUGGUUCUUUCAAGCAUGGUGUUUAGCGAUCUACAUUUGGUUCUUCCAGAUAUAAAUAUUUUGCAUAUAAAUAUAACUUGUUUUAUCCACGUAUAUUAACUAUUGUAUUCAAUGCCACUUCUCUCUUUUUACCUAAUAUUUUUCAACACAGAUGAUGCUCAUAUAUACUUUUAGAUUUCUUAUUGCUUAAAAUGUCAUCUACCAGCUCAUAGGUAUUUACUUUGUGAACUCUUGUUCUAGAGAACCUAAGUAGUGCCCAUGUAGCUGGAAAGUUGUGCAAUGAGCUUCUAACGUAGGGAGCUUAGUGAGCUGACUGAAAUGCAAGCUGUAAACAGACGGAUGUGUAAAAAUAGCUCUAAGUCCAUAAGUUUGGGAACAUUUUUGCAGCUUCAAGAAUCUUAGAUUUGAUAAGCAACAUAAACUAUCCAUUGCAUAUUUGAUUAUUUCUGAAUAGGUAAAGCUAAAAUCAAGUUUACCUCAGAGUGUUCUGUCAUAACUCUAGGAAAAUGGCAUUUGAUGCAAACUUGUGUUAACAAAAACAAACCACAAAAUCCAUUUUUCUAGAGUAGGGUGAAUGACCGCUCUUACAUCAAAAGUACAUAUAUAUAUUGGAGCCAAAGAUGUUUCCCAUGAUGGAAACAUCCUGGAGCCUUGCAGGCAGGUAGACCCUGCCCUCCUUCUGAAGGAACUCAGAGGAGGUUUGGAAAAGAUGCAAAGAUCUUUGGGCACAAACAUCCCUGUGGGUUCAACACACUUGAUUUUCCAGAGGAGUGAAUUUUGUAACUCCAGAGGCUAGUGGGGGGCUUCAGAGGGAUUUUAUUAUGCCCCCUGUUUGUACUCCUAUUUAAGACCACCUAUUAUUUCAGUUAGCUUGCAAACUAAUAAUGCUGCUAAGUUAAGCAUCAAUCUAAUUCCAUCAUCUUUAUAACUUUAUUUUUCUGGAGGCAAGAAAAGAGAUAAAUACAGUGAAUGAAGUGUAUGGAUGUCCUACAGAAUGGAUCUGUAUCUGUUACAAGACAUUAACCAUGACAAACUACAGAUUAUCCAAUUCUUGUUAUUUUAGGUCAACAACAAAAUGUGACUUUGCCAAAUGCAGAUUCAGUUCCUGGGGUGUUCAAUACAGUGACACAUAUCACGGCAUUUCAGAAUUUGCUGUGUACAGAAGCACCGCAAAAAGUUUUUUCACUUAGGUAGAGAAUAACAGAAAAAACCCAAAUGGGAAGUUUUUCUAUACUGUCUUGGAUGACAAGGUUAAGCAGAGAAUCUGUUAACACACACACACACACACACACAAAAAAAAAAAACAGUGACAAUUUAAAUAAAUCAGAUGUUUUUGCUGAAGAUUAUGCUGUCAUUUUCUCCAAUUAUUCUUGACAUUUCACCCAAUUGUAUUGUGAUCUGAGUUAAUAAUGGAAGAAAAAGAACGGCUCUCGUUGCCUUGUUUAUUCUUUGUUCUCAAGGAGAUAAGCUGUUUAUAAGGAUAUUUGUUAUUUAAAUCACUUUUACUGAAGUUGUUUGUUUCCUUGUUUGAGAUUCUAAAAAUAUUGCAACAAUUGUGAUGCAUCUUUGAAACGCCUAUUCACUUCACUAUGAUUUGUACUGAAAUUCAUUCCUAAAUGGGCACAGGUGUUGAUAGCUAGAAUGAGUCAAAACCAAUAAGUGCUCAAUAAAGGGAAGAUGAAAGAAAAUGCACUGAGAACAGCUCUUUUAAGAUGUGAUAAACUGGCAUUUUAGUUCACCGCUUAAUUAGAUACGUAGCGUUGAAGAUGUGCCUGGUGCAACUGCGUAGUUUAAAACAGUUGAAGAUAGAAUUAUGGAAUCAUAGAAUCGUUAAGGUUGGAAAAGGCUAGUAAGAUCAUCUAGAUCAGCCCAUCCCCACCAUGCGCAGUAACCAUGUCUCUCAGUGCCGUGUGUUCCUUGGAUGCCUCUAGGGACAGUGGCUCCAACGUGCUAGAAAAUAACUUCAAGUACCAUUAAUAUUUUCAAGAUCAUAAAUCUUAUUUUUAAAAAAUCAGUAAUACGGUUCAGUAGAAUCUACUAUUGUAGAUUAUGUUUGCAAUCAGUUCUGCAGGGCCUUGAUGUGAUAGUUUGCUCCCUUCUUACAUAAGAAGCCC